rfam:Oryza nivara chromosome 10, whole genome shotgun sequence.
UUUAAGUGUAACCAUGAGUUUCCGUGUCCAUCUUUGAUUAUCCGUCUUAUUUAAUUUUUUUAUAAUUAGUAUUUUUGUUGUUAUGAGAUGAUAAAACAUGAAUAAUACUUUAUGCGUGACUUAUGUUUUAAAAUUUUUUAAAUAAGACGGAUGAUUAAAGUUAAGCACGGAAAAACAUGGUUGCAUUUAAA